UGGGGAAUAUUGCACAAUGGAGGGAACUCUGAUGCAGCGACGCCGCGUGAACGAAGAAGGCUUUCGAGUCGUAAAGUUCUUUUAUAUGGGAAGAUAAUGACGGUACCAUAAGAAAAAGCCCCGGCUAACUACGUGCCAGCAGCCGCGGUAAUACGUAGGGGGCUAGCGUUGUCCGGAAUCUCUGGGCGUAAAGGGUUCGCAGGCGGAAAUGCAAGUCAGGUGUAAAAGGCAGUAGCUUAACUACUGUAAGCAUUUGAAACUGCAUAUCUUGAGAAGAGUAGAGGUAAGUGGAAUUUUUAGUGUAGCGGUGAAAUGCGUAGAUAUUAAAAAGAAUACCGGUGGCGAAGGCGACUUACUGGGCUCAUUCUGACGCUGAGGAACGAAAGCGUGGGUAGCAAACAGG
rnacentral:rRNA from 1 species